rnacentral:lncRNA from 1 species
AAAUUGGCUGAUCAAAGUUUGAGUCGUAAAAAUUAUAUAGAGAUGAGAUUGCAAGUGGAGGAAGUGAGUAGAUAAAUUGGCUGUACCUCCAAUCAGAACAAAUGGGAUAAUUAAUGUACAAUAGUAACAAUACCCAUCUGAUUAACCCAUUAAAAUAGUGAUUGAAUUGCGCAAGAGGACGAAUCGACCGACACGGCAUCACGAAGAGAGCAGAUCGAACUCGGGUAAGUCUCGAGUCGACCCAACGAGUUCUCAAAACGUCUAAAGAUGUUGGCAUCUCGUUGCAUGGAAUGAGGCGAGCUCAGUGUGUCGCUUCCUCAUACGUCCCGGUCGUGUUUCCUGUUGUCGGAUCGUCAUUUAGUGUGGUGGAGUGUAAACUCCAAACCCACAAUUGCAUGGUGUGAACUGAUAGCAUAUGGGUCGACAGUGCUUUAACAGUGGUGAGAUUGACGGCAUCGAUAAGGAGGGAUUGAUAGUGAUACAGCGAGAGAGAGAGAGAGCUCUCAGUCCAAAUCCAAGUCCAUGGUUUCCAGGUUGGGUUCCUGGUUUCUCGUCGCGGUUGCUUGUUUCGUAUCGGUGCCAGCUCUUAGUGGCUCUCUUGGAUUAUGUUCGACGAGUUUAUCUUUGCUUCUGAAUGCGAUUAAUAUUUUUU